rnacentral:rRNA from 1 species
UACGGAGGGUGCGAGCGUUGUCCGGAAUCACUGGGCGUAAAGGGCGCGUAGGCGGCGGAGUAAGUUGGGUGUGAAAUCCCGGGGCUUAACCUCGGAAUGGCAUUCAAUACUGCUUCGCUUGAGUACUGGAGAGGAGGCUGGAAUUUACGGUGUAGCAGUGAAAUGCGUAGAUAUCGUAAGGAAGGCCGGGGGCGAAAGCGAGCCUCUGGACAGUUACUGACGCUGAUGCACGAAGGCCAGGGGAGCAAACGGG